rnacentral:rRNA from 1 species
AUUGAACGCUGGCGGCAGGCCUAACACAUGCAAGUCGAGCGAGCGGCGGACGGGUGAGUAAUGCAUGGGGAUCUGCCCGAUAGAGGGGGAUAACUACUGGAAACGGUGGCUAAUACUGCAUACUAUCGGAUGAACCCAUAUGGGUUUAGAUAGUGGGUGGGGUAAAGGCUAACCUAGGCGACGAUCUCUAGCUGGUCUGUGAGGAGGAUCAGCCACACUGGGACUGAGACACGGCCCAGACUCCUACGGGAGGCGACAGUGGGGAAUAUUGCACAAUGGGCGCAAGCCUGAUGCAGCCAUGCCGCGUGUAUGAAGAAGGCCUUAGGGUUGUAAAGUAAUUUCAGCGGGGAAGCGUUACCCGCAGAAGAAGCACCGGCUAACUCCGUGCCAGCAGCCGCGGUAAUUC